ACUUGAGAGACCAUAAGCAUUUCGGGUAGGAAAGUACAUGAUAUCAUUCAAAGUUGCUUUGUGUAUUUCGACAAAUUCAUCAAGAGAUUCACUCUCAUGUCCCAUUGCCACACGAAGAAAGUGAGCCUCAUCCUUGAUCAAUCCAUCGGCCUCUUUUAAUUCAUCUUCCUCAAAAUCCUCAAUAGCAGGUUCAGCAACAAUUUUUCGCUUGACCCCCUUUUUCUUCUCCUUCUCUGGCUUCUCAUCUAGAGGGUACUUGGUAUUAUCAUGUUCUAGCAAGGACACAAGUUCCUUUCUAAUCAUUUCAUCAGCCUGCUCAAUUAGUGUAGGAGGAACAAAGGAGCUCUUGUCCUCAUCAGCUCUCAUCAAGGAACUCUUUAUUAGUUCUAGAGAAGCAAUGGGAGGUCUAGGGAGCUCCCUUUGCAAUACUUUUGACCUUUUACGGAGUAAUGCUUGUCGCUUUGCUUCUUCUUCAGCCUUCUCCCUGGCAAUCCUAUCAGACAUGUCUUCUUCGAUCUUCUCUUCUGGUUCUUCAUUUUCUUCAGGAGGUUGUUGGAUGACAAUCUGGUACUCAUUCUUGGGCUGAGGAAGGCUUUUCAAACCAGAAAGCAAUUCUUUUUUUGAAUUAAAUUGCCCCAGUUUAGCAUUACUAUGCAUAUCCAUUUCUUCAUUAAUGCGUAGCUCGUCCCUCAUAGGAGUUCCUUUGGGUGUCAUCCCAUAAGAAUCUCUCGAAGGUGUCAUGCCAAUUCUAGGAGUAAGGCUCGUGGCUCCAGGAGUCGCUGAAGGAGUUAAAAGUGGGUUUGGAGUUUGAACCUCCCUUUUCUUAGGAGUGACACCCGAGAAAUCUGAGGGGUGCAACAAAGGAUUAUCUCCUCCAAGUAAUGGUGUUUGAGAUUGAGUCAAUCUUCGUUGAUUUUCUGCUUCCAUCAUAAUGGCGUCUUGCUUAGUUGAAGGGGUUCUUUGAGGUGUUCGCAUAGGAGUCAUAGCAUGUUGUGGUGUCUGGGCAUAAUUUGCAAGAAGAGCACGCGUUGCAGCAUUCCCUUCGGACAGUUCAUCUCCCCCAAUUAGAUCACUGGCAAUACCUAUCUUUGCUAUGGCCUCCAAUUCAUGAUCUGGAAUCUGUGGUGCUGGAAGAUUCAGUUUCGACCUCUUCCUCACUGCUUCUGGAUCAUUAAGUUUGUUCGCAUGCAAUAUGGAUGUAGGGGCAUCCUGUCUCUCUGCAAUUUUGUUCCUCGCAAUAUCCUGCUUCCUUAGGCGAGCUUCCUUAUCGACUCUCCUUUCACCUUCUAGUUCCUCAAUGGUAGUUGGAAACUUAGGUUGAUCAACUGGACGGUCUUCCUCAGUGACAUCAUAGAAACCUGGAGGAGGCUUCUUUUCAAAGGGA
rnacentral:misc_RNA from 1 species